CCAUUAGAUGUCCGGGGCUGCACGCGCGCUACACUGAAGGAAUCAGCGUGCUAAAACCAUUGUCGAAAGGCAUUGGUAAACCCAUUAAAAUCCUACGUGAUUGGGAUCGGGAAUUGCAAUUAUUUCCCUUGAACGAGGAAUUCCCAGUAAGUGUGGGUCAUAAGCUCGCGUUGAUUACGUCCCUGCCCUUUGUACACACCGCCCGUCGCUGCCCGGGACUGAGCCGUUUCGAGAAAAGCGGGGACUGCUGCUGUCGGGGCUUUCGGGCCUUGGCUUCGGUGGAAACCGCUUUAAUCGCAGUGGCUUGAACCGGGCAAAAGUCGUANCA
rnacentral:rRNA from 1 species